GAUGAACGCUGGCGGCGUGCCUAAUACAUGCAAGUCGAGCGAACAGAUGAGGCUCUUGCUCCUCUGUCGUUAGCGGCGGACGUGUGAGUAACACGUGGAUAACCUACCUAUAUGACUGGGAUAACUUCGGGACACCGGCGCUAAUACCGGAUAAUAUCUUGAACCGCAUGGUUCAUUAGUGAAAUACGGUUUUGCUGUCACUUAUAGCUGCAUCCGCGCCGCUUUAGCUAGUUGGUACGGUAACGGCUUACCAAGGCAACCAUGCGUAGCCGACCUGAGAGGGGGGUAGGCCACACGGGAAGGGAAACACGGACCAGAGGCCUAAGGGAGGCAGCAGUAGGGAAUCGGCCGCAAUGGGCGAAAGCUUGACGGAGCAGGGCCGCGUGAGUGAUGAAGGUGUUGGGAGCGGAAAACUGGGUUAUGAGGGAAGAACAAAUGUGUAAGGAACUAUGCAGGGAUUGACGGUACCUGAUAAGAAAGCCACGGCUAACUACGUG
rnacentral:rRNA from 1 species